AUUUUGAACCGCAUGGUUCGAAAUUGAAAGGCGGCUUCGGCUGUCACUUAUGGAUGGACCCGCGUCGCAUUAGCUAGUUGGUGAGGUAACGGCUCACCAAGGCAACGAUGCGUAGCCGACCUGAGAGGGUGAUCGGCCACACUGGGACUGAGACACGGCCCAGACUCCUACGGGAGGCAGCAGUAGGGAAUCUUCCGCAAUGGACGAAAGUCUGACGGAGCAACGC
rnacentral:rRNA from 1 species